rnacentral:rRNA from 1 species
UACGUAGGUGACCAGCGUUGUCCGGAUUUACUGGGCGUAAAGAGCGCGCAGGCGGUCGUUCAAGUCGAGUGUGAAAGCCCCCGGCUCAACUGGGGAGGGUCAUUCGAUACUGAUCGACUUGAAGGCAGGAGAGGGAAGCGGAAUUCCCGGUGUAGUGGUGAAAUGCGUAGAUAUCGGGAGGAACACCAGUGGCGAAGGCGGCUUCCUGGCCUGUUCUUGACGCUGAGG